rnacentral:rRNA from 1 species
AACCCGGAGAUAGCUGGUUCUCCUCGAAAUAGCUUUAGGGCUAGCCUCGUAUUAGAUAACUGGAGGUAGAGCACUGAAUGGGCUAGGGGGCCCAAAGCUUACCGAACCCUAUCAAACUUCGAAUGCCAGGAUAUUGAUGUACGGGAGUCAGUCCGCGAGAGAUAAGUUCCGCGGGCAAAAGGGGAACACCCCAGACCCACUGCUAAGGUCCCAAAGUGCGCGUUAAGUGGAGAAGGAUGUGUGAUUGCACAGACAACCAGGAUGUUGGCUCAGAAGCAGCCAUUCAUUCAAAGAGUGCGUAAUAGCUCACUGGUCGAGUGGUCAUGCGCCGAAGAUGUACCGGGGCUCAAACGCGCCACCGAAGCAUGGGAUUCGCGCAAGCGAGUGGUAGAGGAGCAUUGAAUCAGGGCAGAAGCUGGAGCGGGAGCACCAGUGGACUUGAUUCAAGAGAGAAUGCCGGUAUGAGUAGCGAGAGGCAAGCGAGAAACUUGCCCGUCGAAAGCCUAAGGUUUCCUGGGGAAGGUUCAUCCGCCCAGGGUAAGUCGGGACCUAAGCCGAGGACGGAAGUCGUAGGCGAUGGACAGCAGGUUGAGAUUCCUGCACCGCCUUGAGAAUGAUGCAAUGACACAGAAGGAUAGCAUGAGCCGGGUGAUGGUCAACUCGGUUUCCAAAGCGAGGGCGUCUGGUAGUGAAGUACGCCAGACACACAGCCUGAGCCGAAGAGGGAGUGAAAUUCAAGUAGCGAAGCAUGCGAUUUCACGCUGGCGAGAAAAGUUGCUGGUAUAUCGAAGAGGCGCCCGUACCGCAAACCGACGCAGGUAGGCGAGGUGAGAAUCCUAAGACGAACGGGAGAACCCUUGUUAAGGAACUCGGCAAAAUGACCCCGUAACUUCGGGAGAAGGGGUGCCUCGAAAGAGGCCGCAGAGAAUAGUCACAAGCGACUGUUUAGCAAAAACACAGGUAUCUGCGAAAGCGAGAGCUGACGUAUAGGUGCUGACGCCUGCCCGGUGCUGGAAGGUUAAGGGGAAGUGUUAGGGGAAACCCGAAGCAGAGAACCGAAGCCCCAGUAAACGGCGGCCGUAACUAUAACGGUCCUAAGGUAGCGAAAUUCCUUGUCGGGUAAGUUCCGACCCGCACGAAUGGCGUAACGACUUGUGAGCUGUCUCAACAGGAGGCCCGGUGAAAUUGAAGUAUGUGUGAAGAUGCACAUUACCCGCGACUGGACGGAAAGACCCCGUAGAGCUUUACUGUAACCUGACAUUGGAUCUUGAUAACGGAUGCACAGGAUAGGUGGGACGCUGGGAGACGAGGACCUUGGUUUUCGUGGAGCGGCCGUUGGGAUACCACUCUUCUGUUAUUGAGAUUCUAACCUCAAGCCGUGAGCCGGAUGAGAGACAGUGUCAGGCGGACAGUUUGACUGGGGCGGUCGCCUCCGAAAGAGUAACGGAGGCGCCCAAAGGUACCCUCAGAAUGGAUGGAAACCAUUCGAAGAGAGCAAAGUCAGAAGGGUGCUUGACUGCGAGACCAACAAGUCGAGCAGGUACGAAAGUAGGGCUUAGUGAUCCGGCGGUAAGAGAGUGGAAUUGCCGUCGCUCAACGGAUAAAAGCUACCUCGGGGAUAACAGGCUGAUCUCCCCCAAGAGUUCACAUCGACGGGGAGGUUUGGCA